rnacentral:rRNA from 1 species
AUGCUGGAUCACGGCGUGCACCUGCUCCAGGGUCGGCAUCGCCGACAGGUCGAGGUCGACGUUCUUGAGGCACGCGAGGCCCUGCUCGCCCGGGGCCGGGGAGGAGCACCCGUCCGCGGCGGCGCACCAGAAAGUGCCGGCGCCGAUGCCCUUCUCCCGCAUCCCUCUUUUCAGCGGCCUCACGCCACGCACGGCGAAGGCCUUGCCGGGCGACGCGGACGUCGGGCGCGUGAGCUGCAGGUGGAGCAGCGAGCCGUGCGGCUCGCACUCGUUGGUGAGGUCGGCGCGCACGCAGCCCACCGCGUCGAGCGGCGGCUUGCCGGGCUCCGUCGUGACGAGGAUCCCGAGCGCCCGGUACCCCUCCGGCGGCACGGGGAGCCAGAAGUAGGCGUCGCUGCGGCCGUAGCCGACGCAAGAGCCCGCGCCCGCACUCGCGCCGGCGGCACCGGCAGUUGCGUGGAAGGCCCAGACGAGCUCAUAGUCCCGCGGCGCGCGGAGGGGCGGCUCCGCGGAGCGCGGCGGGUCGGCGGCCCUGGCGACGAUGAGGUGGCCGUGGAGUUUGCGGCUGUUGGGCUGGCAGUAGUGGCCGAGCAGGGUGAAGCCCUCGGGGACGCCGACCGGCCGGUAGAAGGUGGCGCCGUUGCAGCGCUGCAGCCGCGCCGACGGCGACAGGGUGCAGAUUCUGUCGAAGGCCGUGGCCGCCGCGAGCUCCAGCUCCCCUCCGGCCACGCGGAUCCUCCCCCGCGCGAACCCGCCACCUGCAACAAUGGGAGAGGCACGUCGGUCGAACCCACACAUCAAUCAACGAAUCAAUGGAAACCAGAGCCUACUAGAGUAGAAACCAAUAAUGCAGGGAGGCGAAAGCGAAAUCGAGGACGGGGACGGACGGUCGGCACGCGUACCUUGCGGCCACGUCGGGAGGGGCUCGGGGAAGGAGAAGGGCUCCGGCGCCGGGUCCUCGGCGGCGCCGGCGCCGGCGCGGCCAAAGUAGCGGCCCAGCAUCUCUGUCUCGAUUGGGUUCGUGCGGUGGUGUUUGGAGAGCAGAACGUGUCACCCAACCCGGAUCGGCUAACCAACCACUACUCUACCUGGGAUCUGGUGGAGACGACAAGAUCUAGACCCGGCUGGCUUGGAGGGACAACUAUCUAUGCCAAAGCCAUCCGGAUGAGAACUUGA